GGAGGGGGGAGAGGAGAGAGUCUAGUUCUCCCGCGGAGGAAUUGCUUGCGAAAUUUUGAAUCUAGGGUUUGCAAAUUGUGAUCGGAGGGUAAUAAAACCCGGUUACCGACUUAGUUUCCUUUUUUUGAUCGGUGUCCGAGUUGAUCUCGAACUCGAGUUGCCAGCGAGCGCCAGUUUGGCGGUUCGUUAUUUUUGGAAAUUUUUGAAUCCGAGAGUUUUAUGGAACGGUCGGUCGAUUUCUUCUUACCGAAGCGUCUCUCUGUCUCUCCCCCCCGAUCCUCAAUCCCCAAUCUCCCCGUCUCUCCUAAUUCCCCAAACAUUCGAGAGUCCAAAAUCCAAAUCCCUACUACUUCUCCAAUCUCCCUUCCUUCCGUCGGCGGCGGCGAGGAGAUUGGGCGGCGGCGCUGGCGAUGCCGUCGGCGAGGAAAUUGGGGGGCGGCGCUGGCGGGGAUCGUCGACCUCCGCGGAACGGCGUCGGGGCGGUCCCGGAACCAGAGGUGGCGCAGCGCGGUCUCCGAUCGCUCCCCGCAGUGUUCCCAUGUUCCCCGCGCAGCCCCGCGACCUCCGCGCUGCCAUCGUGCAGACGGAUGGUUUGCUUCCGCACCCCCCCCACCUCCACUCCAGCAGGCUCUUCGCAAGAUCGAUGUUCUGCAUUUGUGAUUUGGGAGAUUUCGGUUAGGGUUCUUGCCUCCGCCAGUCCUGCCAUGCGGGAGGCCCAUAGAUGGCAAUUCAGUUAGCGCUUGGUGUGUUAGGAUGCGAUUUUUCGUGCUUGUCAGUGUCGUAUAUGAGUAAUUGGCAAUUGCGAGUUGCAUUCCGUUGAAUUGGUUAGGAUCGCCGGCGUCAUCCACUCCAGAGGAGGAGGGUAGAAUCAACGUGGUAGGAAUGAGAAAUGGGGAGGAUGAAGAUGGUAGAGGGUGUCAGGACUUUAGAGGUUCAGAGUUGAAUGUUCUGGUCUUUAUUUGGUGAUUGUGGGCUAGUUUUUAAACAACUGAUCUUAUUUGUAUAAUUCAAUGUGAUAAUGUUGACUGAUCAAAAAUCAAAAUGGUCAUGAACCAAGGGAGUGCCAAAAUCUGCAAAAUCUGCCUAUCGAAGGAAAUUUCAUGCUUCAGAGAAUCAAAACCUACAAUGUAAUUCUAUAUGCAUCAUUCAAACAGCAUUUUUCUGCAUAUGCCAUGUCAGAACUAUUUAUGGGUCUACAAAAUACUACUGCCAUCAAACCAUCUUGAUGCAUUAUUUUGUUCUUAAGGUUGGUAUUUUAGUGUUUCCGGUGCAUGUUCAGACAUUUCUAGAGCAAAAACUCUGGGGCUUCAGAGAGUGGACGAUUUAACUCAUUCUGAUAUAGCGUUGGUUCAUUCAUCUUUAUGCAGUCAUGAGUCAUGCAAAUUCAAUCUAAUAUCUGCUUAUGAAAAAAAUUUCUUAGGCAUGAGUCAUUUACAGGUAGUCAAUGGAGAAUCUUUUCUCCUUUUGCCUUAUGCUAUUUAUAUUUAAACUCCACCUGGGGUUUCUGGGCAGUUCCAUGGUGUACUUUGUUAUGUUGUGGUACAGCACUUUCCGUAGUUGUAAGGAACUUUUUGAUGCAAGUCUUUCCGUUGAUACAAAUUAUUGUUGUAUAAACCUUAAACACUAGGACUUGGCACUGUUAUAUUUUCUUUUGGUAUCAAUACACUGCUCCAGUUCCUUACCUCUCAGGAGCGUUUUGACUAUGUACAUUCACUGUGUAACUGGUAAGAUACUGAACCCGAUAUAGUGGUAUUAGGUUCUGGGGCGGAGCCAGGAUUUAGGAACAGUGGGGGCGAGACUGUGACACAAUCAUAAUUUUUUUUGGCAUCGAUGCAAGCUAAUAAAGAUAGUGUUGAAAAUACUAAUAAGAUUUUGUAAUUGAUUAUGAGAAAUGGGGAGGAUGAAGAUGGUAGAGGGUGUCAAGACCUUAGAGGUUCAGAGUUCUGGCCUUUGUAAUUGAUUAAUAUACUUGUCUUUUCUAUGGAUAUUAGUGAUUGUUUCUAGUACUUAGUUGUGUUGCUUGUUUUGAUGAAAACCUAAUUGAAAGCAGAAUAUGGCAGGUACAAUUAAUGAGUAACAAAAUCAAUGCAUCUGUGCAACUAACAAUAGCUUAUGUAGGGAUUUCAGUGGAUAGUGAUUGACGGGAAGGAAUUAUUCAUCUCUUUCUGUUUACUACUACAGUAUUGAAGGUGCUUAAUUUUGUAAUCAUGUUUUUGCGUGUUCUGCGUGAUUGACGCUCCCAGGCAAGAGAAUUGCAACAGAAUUAAUUUGGUGAUUGCGCGCUGUUUUUAUACCAUCUGAACUUAUUUAUAGAACCCUGCAGGUUUGAAUACCAAGAAUUAAUUUGAUAAUAUUGACUGAGCAAAAAUCAAAAUGGUCAAUAAGUCAAGGGAGUGCCAAAAACUGCCUAUCGAAGGAAACUUUUCUCGACAACAUUUGGUGCAGAGAAUCAAGUUCUACACUUUAAGUCUAUAUGCAUCAGUGAAACAGCAUUUUUCUGCACAUGCCAUCUCAGAACUACUUAUGGGAUCUACAAAAUAUUACGGCCAUCAAACCAUCUUAAUUUGUGCAUUAUUUUGUUCUAAAGGCUGGCAUUUUUGUGUUUCUGGUGCAUAUUGAGGCUUUCCAGAGCAAAAACUCUGGAAGCUUCAGAGAGUGGACGUGUUUACUAAUUCUGAUAUAGCAGUAGUCGAGUAAUCUUCAUGCAGUCAUGAGUCAUACUAUCCACUUCUGGGAAAAAAAAAUUCUAGGCAUGAGUCAUUUACAGGUAGUCCUGGGAGCAUCUAUUCUCUUUUUGCCUUUUGCAGUCCAUAAUUGGACUCCAUCUGAGGGUGCUCGACAGAUCCAUGGUACAACUUUGGAUGGGUAACAACAUUUUCCCUAUUUGUAAGGAAGUUUUGAUGCAAGUCUUUCUCUUGAUAAGUAUUAUUUUUGUAUAAAUCUAAAACACUAGUAUUCCCUCCGUCCGGAAAUAAGUGAUGUGGAUUUGUAUAAGAAUCUAUGCAAAUCCAAGUCACUUAUUUCCAGACGGAGACUAUGCACUGUUAUAUUUUCUUUUAGUAUCAAUACACUGCUCAGCUCCCAGCUUCUCAGGAGCAUUUGGCUAUGUACAUUCAUUCACUGCGAUAACUUGUAAGAUACUAAAUCAGGUAUAGUGUUAUUAGGUUCAGGGAAGAGACAGGAUUUAGGCAUAGACGGCGCGAGACUGACACAAUUAGAUAUAUAUUUUAUUUUUUUGGCUUUGAGGCAAGCUAUUGAAGAUAGUGUUCAAAAGACUAAACAUGGACUAUCUUCAAUAGUGUUCAAAAUACUACAACUCAUACUCUAAAGACUAAUGUAGAUAUAUUGACAUAACUGUGAGACUAUUGCAUACUUCUAUUGAAUUUAGGUGCGAGUUUAUUAUAUCAUCCAUUAUUGCUAUUAGCCUUCUGCCAUCUAACUUAAAGUUUCAAAUGUAAGGACCACAGGUUCUAACUUAAUUGGUGAUUACUUGCUUUUGGUCCUACUUAUAGAACCCUGCAGGUUUGGAUACCAAGAAUUCAAUGUGAUAAUAUUGACUGGUCCAAAAUCAAAAUGGCCAGUAAAUCAAGGGAGUGCCAAAAAAUUGCCUAUUGAAGGAAAUUGUUCUCUAUGAUAUUUGAUUAUUCAGAGAAUCAAGUCCUAAGUGUACGUGCAUCAUCCAAAAAGCAUUUCUCUGCAUAUGCUAUCUCACACCUACUGCUAAUAGGAUGUACAAAAUAAAUAUUACUGCCAUGAAACCAUCUUUAUGCAUUAUUUUGCCUUGAAGGCUGGUAUUUUUGUGUUUCUGGUGCAUGUUCAGACAUUUCUAGAGCAAAAACUCUGGGGCGCUUCAGAGAGUGGACGAUUUAACUCAAUUUUUUAUGCAAAUUCUUAUAUAGCAGUUGUUGAGGAUCUUGGACACAUCUUCAAAAGAUAUCCUCAUUGUCACCUUGCUCUUACUUUCGCAAUUACAAAGGCCAACCUUUGAACUCUGGAUUUGUACCUAUGUGAAGGACCAGUAUUGGCAUCUCUAAGUAAGUUAAUGUCUAUGGAUUAGAUCUUAGUAUGAAAAGCUGGCACAAAUUGAGUAACCCCUUCCUUUCCUUUUAAGACUACAGAAUUCUUGAAGGAAUUACUUGAAGCGUACAACUUAAAAUAAAUGAAGGUUUCCUGCAUGCUUAGCGAUGAAUUAGAACUGGCUUGGGUUAUGAAGUCUUAUCUACUAUCUGCUUAUCGAAACAAUUUCUAGGCAUGAGUGGUUUACAGGUGAAGUCAAUAGAGCAUCUAAUCUCUUUUUGCCUUGUGCUGGACAGUUUCAUGGUAUGCCUCUGGAUGUUAAGGUACAGUAAUUUCCCUAGUUGUACGGAACUUUUUGGUGCAAGUCUUUCUCUUGAUAUAAAUUAUUGCUGUUUAGACUAUAGACACUAGUACUUUGCACUUUUAUUUUUUCGUUUGGUGUCAAUGAACUGUUCUUACACCGUUGCCACUUGGCCAGUGUUACACAUGCUGAUUCUACAAGCUCCCAGCCUCUCAGGAACAUUUUGAUCAUUUACAUUCACUGUGAUAACUGAGAAGGUACUAAAUCUGAUAUAAUGUUAUUAGGUUGCCCAUUUCGAAGGUUCAAGAGAGAGUUUUUGAUGCUUGAGGCAUGGAAUUUCUGCAACGCAGCCUCUCAGUUAUCCGGCACGUGAGGAGGAAGAAAGGGGGGAUAAUUGAGGAGUAGCUUGAUUGGGAUGCUGACGCCCUGACACAUUGUCGAAGGAGGAAGAACUGAGGAGGAAGAAAUGCUGGAGAGGGGCGGAUGAGAAAGAAAUAGCUGUACCCUCCUGAAUGUGCCAAGCGCUCAGGCGAACGGCCCAAGCGUCUUCUCUAGGAUCAGCGGAGAUCUCUGUAUGCCAACAGUUUUACAGGUUGUUCAGGCUUCUGCACGUUGCAGCGGGAAUUAGUUAGCUCGUGUUAUAGUUGGAGAAGUUGUAAGGACUAAUGAGAGUACAUGUAGAACACACUUGUACGGUCUGGGCAUGGAAUGUGGUGCAUAUAACCACAUUUAUUGUCAUGCCAGAAACAAAACUGUGUUGGGAGGUCUUCACUCUCGCUGCUUGGGGGCUUUGGAAAGUGAGAAACGCUAAGCUAUUUGAUAA